CUUAGAUGUUCUGGGCCGCACGCGCGCUACACUGACAGAGCCAACGAGUUCAUUUCCUUAGCCGAAAGGUUUGGGUAAUCUUGUUAAACUCUGUCGUGCUGGGGAUAGAGCAUUGCAAUUAUUGCUCUUCAACGAGGAAUGCCUAGUAAGCGCAUGUCAUCAGCAUGCGUUGAUUACGUCCCUGCCCUUUGUACACACCGCCCGUCGCUCCUGCCAAUGGAUCGGCUGGAGAGAGUGAGAG
rnacentral:rRNA from 12 species